ACUCCUACGGGAGGCAGCAGUAGGGAAUCUUCCACAAUGGGCGCAAGCCUGAUGGAGCAACACCGCGUGAGUGAAGAAGGGUUUCGGCUCGUAAAGCUCUGUUGUUAAAGAAGAACACGUAUGAGAGUAACUGUUCAUACGUUGACGGUAUUUAACCAGAAAGUCACGGCUAACUACGUGCCAGCAGCCGCGGUAAUACGUAGGUGGCAAGCGUUAUCUGGAUUUAUUGGGCGUUAAAGAGAGUGCAGGUCGGUUUUACUAAGUCUGAUGUGAAACGCCUUUCGGCUUAACCGGAGAAGUGCAUCGGAAACUGGAUAACUUGAGUGCAGAAGAGGUUAGUGGAACUCCAUGUGUAGCGGUUGGAAUGCGUAGAUAUAUGG
rnacentral:rRNA from 1 species